rnacentral:rRNA from 1 species
GACGAACGCUGGCGGCGUGCUUAACACAUGCAAGUCGAACGGAAAGGCCCUGCUUGCAGGGUCCUCGAGUGGCGAACGGGUGAGUAACACGUGGGUGAUCUGCCCUGCACUUCGGGAUAAGCCUGGGAAACUGGGUCUAGUACCGGAUAGGUGCCAUUUUUAGUGUGAUGGUUGGAAAGUUUUUUCGGUGUAGGAUGAGCUCGCGGCCUAUCAGCUUGUUGGUGGGGUAAUGGCCUACCAAGGCGGCGACGGGUAGCCGGCCUGAGAGGGUGGACGGCCACAGUGGGACUGGGAUACAGCCCAGACUCCUACGGGAGGCAGCAGUGGGGGAGAGUGCAAAAGGGGCACAAGCCUGAUGCAGCGACGCCGCGGGGGGGAUGACGGCCUUCGGGUUGUAAACGCAUUUCGCUAGGGACGAAGCUUUUUGUGACGGUACCUAGAUAAGAAGCACCGGCUAACUACGUG